rnacentral:rRNA from 2 species
CCGAACCGACUAAUGUUGAAAAAUUAGCGGAUGACCUGUGGCUGGGGGUGAAAGGCCAAUCAAACCGGGAGAUAGCUGGUUCUCCCCGAAAGCUAUUUAGGUAGCGCCUCGUGAAUUCAUCUCCGGGGGUAGAGCACUGUUUCGGCUAGGGGGCCAUCCCGGCUUACCAACCCGAUGCAAACUGCGAAUACCGGAGAAUGUUAUCACGGGAGACACACGGCGGGUGCUAACGUCCGUCGUGAAGAGGGAAACAACCCAGACCGCCAGCUAAGGUCCCAAAGUCAUGGUUAAGUGGGAAACGAUGUGGGAAGGCCCAGACAGCCAGGAUGUUGGCUUAGAAGCAGCCAUCAUUUAAAGAAAGCGUAAUAGCUCACUGGUCGAGUCGGCCUGCGCGGAAGAUGUAACGGGGCUAAACCAUGCACCGAAGCUGCGGCAGCGAC